rnacentral:rRNA from 1 species
GAGGAAUAUUGGACAAUGGGUGGAAGCCUGAUCCAGCCAUCCCGCGUGUAGGAUGACGGCCUUAUGGGUUGUAAACUACUUUUAUCUGGGGAUAAACCUACUUACGUGUGAGUAGCUGAAGGUACCAGAAGAAUAAGCACCGGCUAACUCCGUGCCAGCAGCCGCGGUAAUACGGAGGGUGCAAGCGUUAUCCGGAUUUAUUGGGUUUAAAGGGUCCGUAGGCGGAUUAAUCAGUCAGUGGUGAAAUCUCAUAGCUUAACUAUGAAACUGCCAUUGAUACUGUUAGUCUUGAGUGAUGUUGAAGUUGCUGGAAUGUGUAGUGUAGCGGUGAAAUGCUUAGAUAUUACGCAGAACACCAAUUGCGAAGGCAGGUGACUAAACAUCAACUGACGCUGAUGGACGAAAGCGUGGGGAGCGAAC